rnacentral:rRNA from 1 species
AGUGAACGCUGGCGGUAGGCCUAACACAUGCAAGUCGAACGGCAGCACAGUAAGAGCUUGCUCUUACGGGUGGCGAGUGGCGGACGGGUGAGGAAUACAUCGGAAUCUACUUUUUCGUGGGGGAUAACGUAGGGAAACUUACGCUAAUACCGCAUACGACCUACGGGUGAAAGCAGGGGAUCUUCGGACCUUGCGCGAUUGGAUGAGCCGAUGUCGGAUUAGCUAGUUGGCGGGGUAAAGGCCCACCAAGGCGACGAUCCGUAGCUGGUCUGAGAGGAUGAUCAGCCACACUGGAACUGGGCCACGGUCCAGACUACUACGGGAGGCAGCAGUGGGGAAUAUUAGACAAUGGGCGCAAGCCUGAUCCAGCCAUACCGCGUGGGUGAAGAAGGCCUUCGGGUUGUAAAGCCCUUUUGUUGGGAAAGAAAAGCAGCAGGUUAAUACCCCGCUGUUCUGACGGUACCCAAAGAAUAAGCACCGGCUAACUUCGUG